AUUGAACGCUGGCGGCAGGCUUAACACAUGCAAGUCGAGCGGAGAUGAGGUGCUUGCACCUUAUCUUAGCGGCGGACGGGUGAGUAAUGCUUAGGAAUCUGCCUAUUAGUGGGGGACAACAUUCCGAAAGGAAUGCUAAUACCGCAUACACCCUAUGGGGGAAAGCAGGGGAUCUUCGGACCUUGCGCUAAUAGAUGAGCCUAAGUCGGAUUAGCUAGUUGGUGGGGUAAAGGCCUACCAAGGCGACGAUCUGUAGCGGGUCUGAGAGGAUGAUCCGCCACACUGGGACUGAGACACGGCCCAGACUCCUACGGGAGGCAGCAGUGGGGAAUAUUGGACAAUGGGCGGAAGCCUGAUCCAGCCAUGCCGCGUGUGUGAAGAAGGCCUUUUGGUUGUAAAGCACUUUAAGCGAGGAGGAGGCUACUUAGAUUAAUACUCUAGGAUAGUGGACGUUACUCGCAGAAUAAGCACCGGCUAACUCUGUGCCAGCCGCCGCCGUAAAAC
rnacentral:rRNA from 1 species